rnacentral:rRNA from 1 species
AAUCAUUAGUCUUUUAAUUGGGGGCUUGUAUGAAGGGUCGUACAAGAAACAAUCUGUCUUAACAUAAUUUAUUGAAUUUAACUUUUAAGUAAAAAGGCUUAAAUAAAUUAAAGUGACGAUAAGACCCUAUAAAACUUUAUAAAUGUAGUUAAAAUUAUAUAUUGGUUGUUUAAAAUUUUUUUAAUAAAUUUUAUUUUAUUGGGGCGAUAAAAAUAUAAAAGGUAGCUGUUUUGUUAUUAAAAUGAUUAUUAUCAAAGAUUAAUUUGUUCCUUUAAUAGAGAUUAUAAGAUUAAGUUACUUU